GACGAACGCUGGCGGCGUGCUUAACACAUGCAAGUCGAACGGAAAGGCCCUGCUUUUGUGGGGUGCUCGAGUGGCGAACGGGUGAGUAACACGUGAGUAACCUGCCCUUGACUUUGGGAUAACUUCAGGAAACUGGGGCUAAUACCGGAUAGGAGCUCCUGCUGCAUGGUGGGGGUUGGAAAGUUUCGGCGGUUGGGGAUGGACUCGCGGCUUAUCCGCUUGUUGGUGGGGUAGUGGCUUACCAAGGCUUUGACGGGUAGCCGGCCUGAGAGGGUGACCGGCCACAUUGGGACUGAGAGACGGCCCAGACUCCUACGGGAGGCAGCAGUGGGGAAUAUUGCACAAUGGGCGGAAGCCUGAUGCAGCAACGCCGCGUGCGGGAUGCCGGCCUUCGGGUUGUAAACCGCUUUCGCCUGUGACGAAGCGUGAGUGACGGUAAUGGGUAAAGAAGCACCGGCUAACUACGUG
rnacentral:rRNA from 1 species